rnacentral:rRNA from 1 species
AUACGGAGGGUGCAAGCGUUACUCGGAAUCACUGGGCGUAAAGCGCGCGCAGGCGGGCUGAUAAGUUGGAUGUGAAAGCCUACGGCUCAACCGUAGAACUGCAUCCAAAACUGUCAGUCUAGAGUGUGGGAGAGGAAGAUGGAAUUAGUUGUGUAGGGGUAAAAUCCGUAGAGAUAACUAGGAAUACCAAAAGCGAAGGCAAUCUUCUGGAACACUACUGACGCUGAGGCGCGAAGGCGUGGGGAGCAAACAGGAUUAGAAGCCCCAGUAGUCC